UACGUAGGGUGCGAGCGUUAAUCGGAAUUACUGGGCGUAAAGCGUGCGCAGGCGGUUUUGUAAGCCCGAUGUGAAAGCCCCGGGCUCAACCUGGGAAUGGCAUUUGGGACUGCAAGGCUGGAGUUUGGCAGAGGAGACUGGAAUUCCUGGUGUAGCAGCGAAAUGCGUAGAGAUCAUGAGGAAGACCAGUGGCGAAGGCGGGUCUCUGGACAGUUCCUGACACUGAGGCACGAAGGCCAGGGGAGCAAACGGG
rnacentral:rRNA from 1 species